GGCUUCGUGGCUUAGCUGGUUAAAGCGCCUGUCUAGUAAACAGGAGAUCCUGGUUCGAAUCCCGGCGAGGCCU
rnacentral:tRNA from 1 species